UGUCGCAUGCUUGACCGUUUAUUCAUUCAACGAGCUUGAAUAGGACAUUUGUUUCAACUUAUUUCUCGCUCUUGAACGGGAUGUUAACGCGUUUGUUUUUCUAAUGAUAUUAGGGCGCUGUUUAAUUUACGUGACGAUAGUUGUGUUUUAGGCUGUUAUGUGGAUCUAUGUAAGCUUUUGUUUGUUUUAUACAUUUUUUUGAUAUACUUUUAAGCGACGACUGUCUUAAGAAGCCGUGCUGCCAGUACGAGUUUUGUCUAAGGUUUCAAAUUGAAACGCAUCCAAUGGCCAAAGAAAAGUUAUAAAAUGAAUACGACUGACCUCGUGUGGACAGGUGCUGCAGCCAAGAUGAAAGCUGUAGAAAAUGCCCAAGAGUCUCUUCUGGUUUCACUGCUACCACGUGUCCGUUGUCUAUCAAGGGCUGAGGGUUUGUCUCGGGUUAAAUAAAUAAGAGCGCACGAGGAACGCUGGCUCCGGUUCCUGUCAUGCUGGGCUGCUCCAGAACACACUGAUCUCGGCGACUUGCUGCCCAGCACAGACUCACAAUAUGACAUGUUUGUGAACUUGUGGUGUUGGCAAGAUAGUAAAAAAACAAAAAAAACAGUAUAUUUUUUCUGAAUUUUGCUUGAUAUAGAAUUUCAGCUUAAAUGCCUAUUUAGAAAAACGUUAUGUAAGACAAAGCAAUUUCUGAGAUGCAUUUAUAAAUGUAAAUGGUGCUUAUAGCUGUUCACUAACUAAAGCAAAUGUUCAUAAAGAAGGCAAAUUCACAUAAAUUAUGAUCAAUUAUAGUGUUAGUGUUAUAGUGACUUUUAUAAGUCAAAUUUCUUAAUAUUUGUCGUCUUGAAAAUUACCUCUGAGGACUUCAGUAUUCAUUAUUGUACACUC